rnacentral:tRNA from 1 species
GGGCAUAUAGCUCAGUUGGUAGAGCACCUGGCUUUUAACCUGAAGGACGUGGGUUCAAGUCCCCCUGUGCCCA